UACGUAGGUGGCAAGCGUUGUCCGGAAUUACUGGGUGUAAAGGGAGCGCAGGCGGGACUGCAAGUUGGAUGUGAAAUACCGAGGCUCAACCUCGGAACUGCAUUCAAAACUGUAGUUCUUGAGUGAAGUAGAGGUUGGCGGAAUUCCGAGUGUAGCGGUGAAAUGCGUAGAUAUUCGGAGGAACACCAGUGGCGAAGGCGGCCUACUGGGCUUUAACUGACGCUGAGGCUCGAAAGUGUGGGGAGCAAAC
rnacentral:rRNA from 1 species